AUGAAACGAAGGACGCUCUGUUUAGAGGUCCGACCAAUCAUUUACCUUUACACUGUGCACAUACUACUUUUUUACACCAAUUUUUAACGCAUUAGUUUUAAGAAUGUAAGAUCAGUCUCGAAAGAGCAUAAAAUAAAC
rnacentral:misc_RNA from 1 species